GACGUAGGAGGCGAGCGUUAUCCGGAUUCACUGGGCGUAAAGCGCAUGUAGGCGGAUGUCUAAGUCGUGUGUUAAAAGCCCCUGGCUCAACUGGGGGAGGUCAUGCGAGACUGGAUGACUUGAGGGCAACAGAGGCACGUGGAACUCCCGGUGUAGCGGUGGAAUGCGUAGAGAUCGGGAAGAACACCCGUGGCGAAGGCGGGUCUCUGGACCGAGACUGACGCUGAGGCGCGAAAGCGUGGGGAGCAAACAGG
rnacentral:rRNA from 1 species